GAUAUGCACUUCAUGUAUGCUUCUUAAUGUGGAUGCCCCUUUUCAGAACGGGUACUGGUCGUGGAUGGCCCCUCGCAGGAUGAUUGAUCAUGGACACCCCACUCACAGGACGGUUGGCUGGGGAUGCUUCCUCGCAUAAGAUGUAAGCUGGUGCCGAGGGUCAACAGCCAAUGGGGGGGUGUUGCUUUUGUCCAGAAUUGGUAACACGAGGCAGAGAGGCGGCAGCCAUCGCUAAAGUCCCUCUUUGAAAACUAAAGUUUUGUCAACCGGAACUUUGCAACUUUCGACUGUGGUUCGGUGCAGUGGUGAAGGAUGGCCAGCGGUGCACAAGGUGACCACCAUUCCCUGCCAAGGCGGACAUUUCUGCCUUGGUCACUAAUGGGAGUAACGGUUUGGCAGUGACCUGAUGUACAAGAAGCAUUUCAUUUCAGAUCAUAGACUAUUAUUGAUGGCCAGGCCAGGUUCUGUGACUGGCCUGGGUGUUAUGAUAUCGCCACUGCGGCCGAAGUCGUUGACUUUACAUUGAAUGGUUUACCAAAAACUGUCAGGACUGAA